GCCGCGUCGUGGCAGCCUGCGUCUGAGCAUGUGACCGCGCAGCGCACUGACGACACUGACUUGGGUGCCGCGUCGUGGCAGCCUGCGUCUGAGCAUGUGACCGCGCAGCGCACUGACGACACUGACUUGGGUGCCGCGUCGUGGC